rnacentral:rRNA from 1 species
GACAGAGGGUGCAAACGUUGUUCGGAAUUACUGGGCGUAAAGCGCGUGUAGGCGGCCAUCUAAGUCGGGCGUGAAAUCCCACGGCUCAACCGUGGAAGUGCACUCGAAACUGGAUGGCUAGAGUCCUGGAGAGGAAGGUGGAAUGCUUGGUGUAGAGGUGAAAUUCGUAGAUAUCAAGCGGAACACCAGUGGCGAAGGCGGCCUUCUGGACAGUGACUGACGCUGAGACGCGAAAGCGUGGGGAGCAAACAGG